GGAGAGGUGGCAGAGUGGUUGAAUGCGCCGGUCUCGAAAACCGGUAUGCCCUCCGGGGCAUCGGGGGUUCGAAUCCCCCCCUCUCCG
rnacentral:tRNA from 1 species